UAUAUAUAAAAGUACAGAUUUUUUGUGUCUACUCAAUCAAAUGACAAUAAUACUAGAAACUUUGCCUGCGUCCUCUUGUGAAUAGUUGCCAUUCCUACUCACUUCGUCAUACUGCAAAUCGACAUGAAAAUAGGGGGCCCGUUGUGAAAACUGUAUCAUCUGAAUAUGACUACGAUUGCAUUACGGGAGCUACGACACCACGGCAAAGCAGAAGCACAAAAUUUGGGCAGUGUUCCAAUCGCGGAGUAGUUGUGCAGGUUUUAAGCAGUGCAGGAACUGGUCCUGAGUCGUCUUCAUCCAUUUCCUGUAAUAGCUUGUGAAGUCAGCCCGCAGCACACGAAAUACACAAGUACGCAGGAAAUUAGGCGAAGCCGGUCAUUGAAUGAAGUGAUUAUUCUCAGCUGGCAGAGCAUCAUUGUCAAAGGGUGCGUACUGCCGCACUUGAUGGCUUGGAUCGAGCAAUUUGUGGAAUUUUGGCACGCCAACAGUUCCAAGAGGGUGCACAUGGAGCUGGAGCGGGUGGGAGGAUUCAACAACGAAGUCAAUGGAGGGGGCCUCAAGACAGGGGGGAGGAUAAAGUCAUGAAGGUCGACAAGGAGCGUUUCAUGCCCUCCCUGUUUUACAAGCGAGCAGGGAGAGCAUUGAGAUCAUCACAUCUGCAUAUUGAGAAGCAAAUCAUGGUUAAUUGUACAUUGUGGACGGUAUUUACGAUUGCCUUGUACAAAUCUGCCCUUGAAGAGAUUAUUGAAGAUUAAGAUGGGUGAUGUUCAUGACUCGAAAACUCGUGGGUACAAAGACAUGGAAUUAAUUCGGAGUUGGCAGAGCGUUUUUGGAGUUACACAGGUAAGUUGCCCUCCGGCGUACAUUUUUUGCACGACGAUGAAGAGUGCAAGUAAAUGCUAGCAAUUGCACCGCUCUGCAAAUGACUCCCAGAACGUUUCUGCCCUGGUAAUUGUGUGAAGGAGGGUAUUAAUUUAUUACACGCAAUGUUGCUGGUGCUACCUUUUUGUUCCUGUCUCUUACGCCUCCGCUUGUUGUGGACAAGUUGCAAAUGCUCACAUCGGACCGCACGCAAAAUCAAAUAGGAACUGUGAACUUGCAUUUCAUGUUCAGCUGGGGAUGAAGCUCACUCUAUCAUGUGUGUAUCGCUCAUUCUGUGAUUUUUUAAUUUUCGUGAAGUCUCGAAUGAUCGACUGCUAUCAUCACCGGCAUGUGCUUCAGAGCAGUAAUCCCUCAUUGCUGACCUCAAUAUUUCGUGGAAGAGGGUUAAAAACAAACUUGUCUUACCCGUGUUCUAUCCCAUGCUUCAGUAUUAGUUCUAGUAAAUAAUGGAUUUCGUUCUGCUGCUCAUUGUUGAGGUUUUAGUCUCUUGAUCACUACCUGAAGUUCCAGUACAUGGGUCUGGGGAGGCUUUACUGUCGAGCUAGUUGCAAGUUUAUCUACAAUGGUGGAGUGAAUAUUGUGCAACAAAAGGAUGUGGACAAAAGGGUAGCAGCCAGAUGAGCAUAGUGGACAACUGCCAUUUUUUUAACAAAGGAGGUGUUAAUCGUGAUGUUCGCAACGCGCAAGGAUUCCGUCUACUCUUGCCCUCAUCCUUAUGAGUUUUUGAGAAUCCUCCUGGAUGAAUAUGAAAAAUAGCUCCAUCAAUAUUUGCGCAGUUUUAUGGCUUUUCGAGGAUCAAGGCAUUGGAAGGUCGGACGACAACGGUGAGAGUUAUGUUGAAGCACGUUUCUCAACCCCUGACAAAAAAACAGGCUUGACUUGAAUAAUGGUGCAGUUUUACUAACUGUUUGUAGCGUCAUUCAAGGAUUUUCUUACAGCUGAGAAACCAGAGGCGACGUACAGUCCGAGAAGUUCUGUCCGUGUCGGUCGUGUGUUGAAACUGAUGGGUAGCCUUCGAUAGGGGGGGUACUUGACCUUCACAAACUUUUGCAGUUGACCCCAGCGGCGUUGACGUAUGAUAUUUACAAUAACAGCAGUGCAAAGCACAUCAUUGACUACCCACAGACGUCUAUCACCAUUUUUCUGUCGCCGCGUUGACCUUUGUGAAAGGAGGACUUGUAAGAGAGAUCAAGGGAGGUAUUUCAAGUAAUGUUAUAUCACCCAAAUUCAUCGCUCUGCUGUGCGGACUCUCUCCCAGUCGGUUAGCAAGCAGGGACAUCAACUCUUGCAACAGCCUUGUGAGAGAAUAGCAUGUGAUCUGUGGUGUUUCUAGUUCAAUUGCACAAGCAGUCAUACCAAAGAACGUGGCCCUCGUUAAUCGCACAAAAUUUAUCACAAGAUAAGCAACAUCGGAAGCCUCUCGGGAUGAGAGAUGACGAGCUUGUCCAACUUCUCAUUUUUCACAAGUAACAACAGUGCAUAGCAAACUCUCGACGUGAAGGCAAAAUUUGCAUUUGGAUGGUUGUUGCAUUUGAAGGAAAAAUUUCACGCUGUGCUGGUCAAAGAGGAGCACUUGUGAGCGUGGGACGCUCAUCUGCUGUUGAUAUUCCUCGGUACAUGUUGAAAGGCCACCGCAUCGUUUAGCAUGAACUGUCUCCUCUUUCUUUGAAGAUAUAUGAGAUGUAACUUCUCACUCUGGUUGGGCUGGAAUUCAUUCUUUCCCUUGUAACAGCUUCCUUCUACGGACCUGGAUGUUGAUCUUUCGAGAGAACUCAUGUUGGGAUACUUCAGAUAGAACCACUUAUCUCAUUCGGCUUACAGGAAUGGCCUCCGUGGGAUUAUGGCGGUUUCGUCGUGUUUUUUGGAAAUCGUAGCAUGGUUACCUGGCGGAACAGGCCACUAGGUUGCAAUCUAGACUGAAAAACUGGAUACAAGAGGAUCGUCACCGACAAACCCAAUUUACCAAUUCAGACUAGUGUUUUUGCCCAUUGGAUUGUCGAUGUGAUUGAUUACAUUCUGAUCAGCUUGCUAGCAAUGCGGCGUGUUGCAUAAACAGGUGCUGCGCGAGCUAUUGAUCAAUCUGUGUUCAAGCACAUCAGCUUUAUUUAUGGAAAUGUCGUUGUUCUGAAUAUCGAAAUGAAUCGGAUCCGCAGAAGGUUUUUCGGCA